rnacentral:rRNA from 1 species
UUUCGUUCGCGCCGACCUCAGAGCAAGUG